CGGGACAAGAGUCAACGCAUUCCAACGUUGUACAAUCGGUUUAUCAAAGAGGAGAUUCAAAGGAUCAAAGACAACAAUCCAAAUAUCAGCCAUAAGGAAGCUUUUCGCACAGCUGCUAAAAGUUGGGCACAUUUCCCUCAUCUUCAAAAACUAGGGUUGUGGCUAGAGCAUUUUCCUCAUAUUCAAAAGGUUGGGACGAAUUUAGAGAACAACAAGCACCAUCUCAACCUUGAUGAGAAUCAAGCAAGGUUGUGUAAUCCCCAAAAUGAUAAAGCUUGAUUUGGAAUAUCAACAAGGCAAAGCAAUAUAUAUGCAAUGUAUUGAUGAUUGUGUUAGAUACUUUUCUAUGUAUUUUAUGUUCUAUUGA